AAAUUUAUCAUUCUACUAAUUUAUAUAUGAGUAAAUUGAAUGUAAUAAUAUCAUAAUUGUAGCUCAUUGAUGGAGUUUUCAUUAAUCUACCCAUGUCACUGAAUAGUCUGGAACAUUAGAAUGUCAGCACAAGUUUUGAUCAACGAAGAAUAAAAGCAUAUGCUUACAGUAUUUUUAGGUUACAACAACAAUUUUCUUUGAAAUAGUUCACUAAAGGUUCAGGCUACUAUCCUUGCUAGGCUGAAGAGUAUUAGUAGCAGAACCACCACUGUUUUAUGCAUUGGCACACUCCUCAGACUUCUUGAGGUUAUUGUAUGGUGCUGCAUUCAUCGCCCUGCAAGCAAAGAGAAUGGCCUCAUGAUGUUAAUACUUCCAUCCAAUCUUGCUGAUAAAUACCAGUUGCCAGAGUAGUCAUUUAAGGAUGAUUUCCAUUUGUGCAGAAAUAAAAAUUACGCAUCUGAGAAUGCUUUUCGCGGCUCCACAAUGCUAACAGGAGCAGUAGGAACUCCAGUUGUUUUCGCUGCCAGAAAUUCAUCAGUGCUAGUUGAGCCACUCCCUGAAUGUGCACCGGUAGGGGACGAAACAGACAAAGGACUUGAAAGACCAGAGCAGGGUGGUGUAUUUGCAGGCGGACAGACAUCACCACCAGCCAACUUAGAGCUCGGUGCCUGAACUUUUUGCUGUGCCGUGCUAGAAGCCCCGAAUAAGACAUUGCCAGCCGCCAACAACAUGAUUGCUUGUGCCUGCAGAAAGAGGGAAACAUUUAAACUUAACCAUGAUCAAGGCCAGGUUAACAAGAAAUACAAGAUGUAUGCUCUCUUUCUUCACUUUGUAUUUGUUUAUUUCGUGUGUGUUUUGAUCAGCAUCGUCAGAAUUGAUUUUGUUAAAAUUGAUUAUGGUAAAAGAAAGUUGAAAGUGAAGUAAUAUAUGUUUGAAUAUGUUUAUUGGAAAAGUGACUUCUAUAGGGUAAUGUUGUGAAAUCCAAUUAUAAAAUCCGACAAUUGAUUAUCUCCACUGCAGAAGCUACUCUCACUAGCUUCUCCGCAUUAAAAUCAAAUCUCUAAGUCGAUUGUAGGAUAUUGAUAUAAUGACCUAAAGGCUAAAACUAAAAGUUAUUCUGGUAAAUGAGAAUUGAUUCUAAUGAAGCAUGGAAUCAAUCACACACUUUAUCACAAAUAAGAGUGUAACGAAUGUGUUGAGCAAAGACAGGUACCUUCUCGGCAGAGAUAUCAUCAAAGACAUUGACAGUACCCGCAUAGAAGAUGGUAAGUGGGGCAGAAGGCGCAGAUGUUUUCAGACUGUUACUUCAAAUUAACACAAAUUAGAGAAAUUAAAAAGGAACAAGUGGGUGCACUGCACGGCCUAACAGUUAAAGCAUAAAAUCAAAACUAGUAAAUUACCAUGAUUCAGACAUUCCAGCAACAGCACCAAUGGUGGGAAGAGAUGAAUGAGGUGCGGUAACAGGUUUUCCCCCGAGAAGUGGCAGUUUUACAUUAGCACCGUUCAUAUUCUGACCAGCAGCGGCAAAAUGAUUCUUCUGGAAUGGGUUUCCCAAGGGGGCAGAAAUUGCUUGAUUGGAAACUGAAAACAUCUUCCCAUCAUGUUGUACCGGAUGCGGCGCCAGUGAAAAAUGAAUGCCGCCUUGCUCGUUGAGAUUGAGAGAUUUCUAAAUAGCAAUAACAAACAAUCAAUGGAAGAGCAAAGACACAUAAGCUGAUACUUAUUGAAUGUGUCGGACAGAUUUAGUAUGAAGAAACUUACGAAAUUGACAGUUUGGAACAUCAGAACUGAGAUGUUUACAAAACAACAAGAGAUUAUGGUAUAAAUUUUUUGAAGAAAAAGAAAAAGUUGUCCUCUUAAACUAUAGAGUUGACUUAAAAUAAGCAUACCAAUCAGAACAUACUGAAACCAUCCAAAUUGUUAAAUGUGGACAAAUGAAUUAUACUCAUUUUAAUUUUAAUUUAAAGCCUAAAUAACACAGAAUGUUGUACAGUCAAUUUUGAAUAAAUACAGAGAGAAACUGAGAAAGGGUAGUAGCAAACCUGGGGUUCAGACACCAUCCUUUUAGUCCUUUCAUCUUGAGAAACCUUGAAAGACAUCACAUGGGGAAAAGCAGACACUUUGUUCGUGAAGGGCCAUUGUGCAACCGAACCCUUCGUGAAACCUGCACAUACCCACAAAAGGAUCUUAGUGCGUGCUCGAAAAUCCUUCUACAAUUGAUUCUAAAGCCAUAAUCAAUCCUUGGGAAAAGCUUAUGUGAGUAGCUCCUGGGUUUCAGAAUUUAUUCGGAAGAAACCGAAACUGAUCCAAACAUGCAAUUAAUCGCUCACUAAACCUUGAGAGACAAAAGAGAGAUACCAAAGAUUCACGAUUUCGCUUCUGCUAACCUUACAUGAAAAAUUUUAGGAACACACUCAAAUCAACAAAAUUGGUAAGAACUUGACACAGAUUAUUUUCCAAAAAUUGCAAAUUUAAUUUGACACACAUGCACUCUACUUUAAGUAUCUAAACAAGAGUCACAACUUAGUUCCACUAUUAAAAUCUAAAACAUAUGAACCCAUUUAAAGUUAGUUAGAAGCAGGACCAAGGAAAAGCAAAAGCAUGUCAAAAAGAGAAAAAAACGAAUCAACCAAGCAAAUCUAAGAACAACAGGACAUGAUCAAAAUUUAAUUUUGCAGCUCAAAUCAACCUGCAUGCAAUCUAAAAAAGUGUGAUUGAACACCAAACAUUCACAACUUCAAUUCAAGCACAAGAACUGAAAUUUAGCAAGAGAAAACAAGCACAAAAAAUUGGAUGAGGAUUGAGCAGGAAAACAAUAAAUAAAAACAUACCUGAGUCUAUCCACCCAUCAUUUUUGAUUUCUUCCUUGAUGACAGAGAGUGGUUCUUUGGAGCUCAGACCCAUGAAAUCUCUCUCCAUUUCAGAGACAAAAAUUGUAUCCUUAGAAUAAAGCAAAAUCCAAUGAAAUUGAAAACCCACCAGCCAAAAAUUGAGAAUUUUCUUCCUUCACAUGUAAAAAUGAAACAACAACAACCCUUUGUUCUUGUUCCUUUCUCUUACAACAACAACGUCAACAACCAGAGAAACAAAGAAGACUCAAGUACAAAGGUUCCAACUUCAGAAGAAAGAAAUAAGCGUGUGUUUCACAUAACAGGUUUCAUGAGAUCUUGGCCGUUGAAUGGGAACUUUAAUAGAAACUACCAAUGGUGGAUGGUUAACCGGUAAACCGGUUGAGUGACGGGAUGGUUCGGUAAUGGAGCACGUGCGUGAUCCUUUAAUGGAUUCACAAGAACCUACGACUCUACGAGUCUGUGUGGCCCUACCUCUAGUCGGUGACAGCGCUAUUUUGUACGUGCGUGAUCUUCAGUUUUUAAGCACGUGUGUGUGACACGUGACAUUUUCGGCUCUUGUGUUUUGAGUAAUAACUUGGAUGUUCUUUAGCUCGUGACUCACACGGUAAAGUUUUUGAUAUUUGAUUUAGAAUUUGGAUUUUUCUUUAUCUAUGUGUAGGGCAAUUUGGUUUUUUUUUUUUCUUUACUUACAAUUAUCUUCAAUGGAAAAUAAUUUUUUCCAUCAAAUAAGUAUGGGGUUAAUUCUUUAAGUGAGAGUUUUUUUCGCAAUAUGCUCCGCCUAACAAGAGAUGUAAUAAAUGUCACAUAAUGACUACUGUUUUUGUUUACACAAUUUCUGCAUACCACAAUUAAUGAAUAGGCCUUGAGCAUUAAAGGGCACUCAACCUUCAUGUGUACACUUAGGUUUCAAAAGGAAGCAUGGUAAUACAAUAUUAGGCUAACCAAACUCUGUUAUCUAUGGGCUUGUUUGGUACACCGUAUUAGACAUGAUAGUGUAAGUUUAUACAAUGCAUUAUGGAUUUAUUCAUUGUUUUGUACUCACAUUGUAUUAUAUAGCUUAUACAUCAAUCUCUUCUUAUACAUUAAAAAUAUGGAUAAUUUAAUCCACUUAUAGAUGAUGGAUAAGAUAUGAUAAAAGUGUGAUAUAUAAACUACUUGAAUAUAUUUAAUCAACUGUCACCACCACCACCCUCUACCACCACUUCUGCCAUUACCGCCGCCACAUCCACGCUCCAGCACUGCCAUCAUCGUUGACCCUGUCAUCGUUAUUGUUGCCACUACUACCACCAAUGCCUCCACCAUCGCUGCCACCUCCACCACCCUCCACUACCACCUCUGCCACUGCCAUCAUCGCCCCCACCGUUGUCACCACCACCCUCCACCACCACUAUCGCGACCAUCGCCGCUACCGCCACUCUACCACCGUCGCCGCCACCAUCCACCACCGCCUCCACCAUCAUCACCUUCCAACACCACUACCAUCACCACUGUCGCCACCAAAUUAUACCUAACGCUACUAGUAUUGAAAUUUUAUCAUGCCUUAUCAUAUUAGGUUUAAUACAAUAACUCCUUAGACAUACUAUACAACAUACCAAAUGAGUCUUAAGCUUUUUCGUGAAGACGAUGUAUUAAAAAAUGAAUAAAUAUAUAAUUUUUGUUAUAAAUUAAAAUAAAGUAAAAAGGAAAAUUUAGAAUGUGGGAAAAUCAUAGUUGUUGACUUUAACCACCCUAACCGUUAAUGAUUUCUUACUCAAUACUACUAGUAAGGUGAUCCAAAUUCAAACAUAUUCUCAGCAAUUAAUAUUUUAGUCAUGAAGUCAAUCAAAUGUGGCGAUCAUUGUAUUUUAAAACCAUUUUGGACAUGUUUAAAGAAACUAGUUAUAUUUAAAGGCUGAGGGAGUAGUUGUGUGUCAGUAAACAAAAUUGAUGAGGUUCAUGCAUCUUCAAUUAUUGAUAUAUAAACUUGUCACGGUCUGGGGGAGAAGCCACGUAAUUAGGCACAAAUAUGAUAAGAAUAUAAGCAGUGCUGUUUUCCUGGAUUAAGUGUUGUUAAUUUGACAAUUAGGCACACAGAAUUGGUAGUUGUUUUGUUCUUGAGAGUUGAAGGUACUUGAACGUGCAUUGAAUUUUAAUUUGUUUUCCCCCCUUGUUUAGUGCUUAAGUCACUAUCAUUGGUUUUUUUUUUAGCUAACCAUCAUUAGUUUUUUUUUAUUCGAUGAAGAAUGCGGGGUUAAAAUACUCCACAAUUAAAGAAUGAAAAACAGAACAAAAGUGAAACGCUUUGAAAAUGCGACAAUUUUUUUACUGAGAAGAUUGCAUGUGGUAUGUAUGUGUAUGCAUUAGGUAAAUUCAUGUAGUGUACGUUUACCAACUAAUUCCCCCUUCUCUUUAUUUUUCCAUCCCAAGGAGUAAUGACACUCCCGACUUAAUUAUGGUGACCCUAAUUAUUGAAGUAUCUGUCAAUAACUAAAUAUGGAUAAUCUUUAGGUUAAAUAAAUAAGAUUUUUUUGUAGUUAAAUAACUAAAUCUUUUGUGAAGUGUAACAAGAGAUCAUGAUACAAAAACAGGUAAUGUUAUCGUCUUUUUCUGCCUUUUUUUUUUUUUUAUGUUUAUCUGUAACUUUCAAUCAAAUUGCAGAGAUUCAAAUUGAGAGAAAAAUGCAUAGCUAGUAUUUGUCUAUGUGUGUGUAUUCUUAGUUUAAUUGGAUUUUAUUCCCCUAUUUGCAAAGUGGUCAUGGUCAUAGCCAUUGGCUAAUAUAUGCCCUCAUAUGUUUGCGAUAGUACAUCUAAAUUAAUUUCACUGUACCUAUCACAAUCAAAUUAUUGUAGUUUUGAAAUUAAAUUAGUCUUUUUUCCUUUGUUGGCCCUCCCUCCAAGGGAAGAAUUCACAUGGGAAGUAGGUCUCACUUUUUAGGUAUGUUAUUUUGGAUCCCUGAUCCAAUAGGGGUUUUCCAUGCCAAAACUGUAUGUUCAUGCAUGGUUAAGAUGGUAGAUGGGAAUGAAUAAUCACUUAUAUAUAAAGAUUAUCAAAAUCUUUGUUGGUAUUCAUAAAUGGUAAGGCAACUUUAUUUUUAAAAUACACAAGUAGCUGGAGCCAAAUAUGACCAUUAUGAGUAACAAAUCUCAUUGUAAGGGAACUAGAAAACAACACCGAAUUUCAUGAAUAUUCAGUAAUAUUUGUAUGAAGACCAUGCUAAGAGCAUGGGAAGAUUUGUGUGCAAGAAUAAUUUUGGUCCUAAGCUUUUAGAUGAAACUAACCAUGUGGAUCACACAUGCAUUCAUUCCAUUCUUAAUAGUGGUAUAUUGGUGAAGGGCACUCACUUCAACAAUUGCUUUGGACUAUAUAAAUUUUCUGUAAGACUUUGUCACUAAGACUUAAAAAAAUUGAUCAUUACACAAUACUCCUUUCUUAAAUUCUAUAAUUUGGUAAAGUGUGUCCCGCCACCCAUAUCAACUUUUACAAAUAAUUCAAAAUUAACAAAAGGGAUGGAUGUAUGGGUUUUGAUUUGUUUGUCUGUGGAUGCCCAAAAGGAAAAGGCUAAAAGAAAAGCAAAGAAAAACAGAGGAUUUAGGAUUGUAUCACUUGAAAGUUUGUACUUUGUAGUUGUAGUAGAUUCCCUACUCCAAAUUUUGCUGUAGAGGACAAUAGGGGAAAAAUGUGUAGCAUGCGCUAGGAAUUAGGAUAUUGUUAAAUGUUAAGUGCUUUCAUGCCCCAUAUCCAAUGAGUCUUGACUCUUGAGUGAGAUUAAUCACGUUUUGGAUAUUUUAUCUGAAUAUUUUCUACACUCGAAUUACUACCCAUUAGAAAAUAUGUAGGUUUUUAAUGAGAAUAAAACAUUUUCAAGGAUCAAAAUAACAUUUUACUGUCACUUUUAAGAAGAUGAGUUCAAAGUGAAUUAACAUUUGAGAGAGUAAUGAGAGACCAAUAAUCCGUAAAUGAUUCAGCUUAUUUUGUGUUUAAAAUAGUUUGUAAUCAAGAUCCAACUGAAAUAAUUCAAAAUAUCCCUCAAAUAAUUGUAAGGAAUUGUCUAAAAGUUGAUUGAGGGGAAGGAAAUAAUAAACUGCCUAGGCUACUUUUUUUGCCUAAGGCGGACCUUGGGAUUAGUCGCGUAAUAACAACUUGGGUAGUCUAACUCAUCUCAAUUGAGAAUUACUAUUCGAAACUGUGUGGAACUCUCCAUGCAUCGGUAGAUGCAUGUGCCGAGUGCAAGGAUGGUUUCACGCGGUUGGAAUAGUAAUUCUCAACUAAACUCAGUGAUGGAAGAGUUGAACUUGAGCUAAGCUCACCCACCAAAAGAAGAAUGAGAGCUAGGCUGGUUCAGUCUUUAAGAUGUACCAGAUUUUAAUAUGGUUUGUUAAAAAAUUACACAUUAUAUGAGUUCAGUGAAUUGUAUCUAUAUCCCCACCAAUAAGGGAGAAAGAAAGAAAAAUGUGAAAAACGUAAGAAAUUAAUAUAGUUCAAGCAAUUGCUUUAACUAUUUACAAGUGGUUCACUGAUUUCAAGCAAUUCAUUUCUGAGACCGGUGAAAACCACAGAAUCUGUUUCCAGGGGCUUGAACUUGAUUAGAGCAGAAGGUACCAGGUCCUCUUCCUCUAUUGUUUUAGCAUUUUCCCCUGCUUUAGGAAAAUGAGGGAUCACCCUCCGUUUGAUAACCACAGGAUGCAUUAGCUCAAACUCCAAAGCUUGUUCUUUUAAUGCGGAGCUCACAAACUGUUUCACCACCACAUUAAAAAAAACAUUACUAAGUUGCUAACUGAGAAUAAACACUAAGACAAUAGCAUUAGGGGCAUGAAAGAAGAAACUAUAACAUGUUUGGAUUAGCAACUCAGAAACUGCUCAAAGAAGCUUUUUCCCAGAAUUGAUUUUGCCUUCAGAAUCAAUUGCAGAAGAGUUACCAAACAUACACUAAUGCUCUAGUGAUAAGGUGAGGUUGUCCAAUUAGAGACUUGGGUUUAAAUUGCAAUUGUAAUUAUCUCAUUGUAACUUGCUAAUGUGCAACGAAUAAUUUCCGUAGUUGAAUAACUAUGUUGUUCUUCAAAACAAACAAAGAUUCAAAUUAGAUUGCUGGUGUUAUGCUAUUCUAUGCAUUAUGAUACAGGGUAUUUGAUGCAAAUGAAACUUAUCACUUUCCAUUGUUGACUAAUCAAAUUAUACUUGGCACUUGUAAAACCAGUUUUUUCAUUGUAAUGUAAAGUUUCAUGUCAAGCAGCAAAUUGACAUCUACAGAACAGUAUGAAUGAACCAUUUAGAACAACUUGUGAUGAUAACUUGCUCAAGUGAAACCCGGAACACGAAAUCAUAAGGUAGAGAUUAAAAACCCCAUCGUCCCUAAACAUGAAAAAAUUAGAAAUUCAAAUCGAGUAGAAAAGGACAAACCUCAUAGAGAGCAGUGGUUGGUUCCCAUGGAGAAAAUACACCUUGAAGUACAACUCCAUCCGGAAACUGAAUCCGAAUAAUAGUUUUUGUGUAUCUCCUCCUGGCAGCUUUAGCUUGCUUUUCUCUAAGUGACUUAGGGAUUAAAAGCUGGGACUCUUCAAGCUUUUUUCUCCUUAAUUCAGCUUCUCUUCUUACCUCUUCAGCUGAAAGUUUAUAGAAGGAAUCUGGUAGCUCAAUUUUAGCUGCAACGCUUUCAGGGACAGCAAAGAAGACCUUCACCUGUAGAAGUCAUUUUUUAUAGGGGAAAAAUAAACAUAUUUAGUGUCAAGAAUUGGUUGGCUGCUAAAUUUUGCACAAUACUGAAGUACCAAAAGAAAGCAAUGACACACAUGAUUUGAGUUCUGCCGAAUAAUAACUAAAGCAUCAAACAGGAAUACUCAAAGAAUAAGAAGAUUUGACCAAAGAAACAAGAACAAUAUACUAAUAUCUCUGAUACAGUAAUAGUUAAAACUAUUUCUGCAGCUGAUUUAUAUAUACAAGAAUGCAUGAACACUGAAGACAUAAACUCUAAAAAGUAAAAUAUUUAAAUUUCACACUUUUCUUUUGAAUUAUUGUAUCAGGAUGUGUUUCUCUUUGGGUGUUAAUACUUGGGUACCACCAUAAUAGCUUGCUCAACUUAGGAGGUUUGCUUACCUUUCGGUUUGUGAAACUCUUGAUAAAUGUUUAAGAGGAUUCUGCAUUAUUGUUCUCUGCUUUGUGUUUGUUCUAUUAACCUCACAGAACUUCGAAAUAUAAACAUAUUACAGUACCAAGCCUUGCAAAAGUGUGACCAAGUCUAUCACAAUUUUCACUAUGCCUAUGCAACACUAGAUAAUCACUCACAAGAGAACCUGAAAUUUAUUUUCCCCUUACAUUAUAGUUAGACACCAAACCCAAUAGCAUUGAUUAGCUAAAAAUACUGUAUACUUUGUACAAUUUUCUUAGCACAGUUGCUCAAAUGGUAAACAUCUUUUAUGGACAUUUUCUUUUUCGUUGUCCAUGCUACCGAGAUAAAAAACUUCAGUGGCUACUAUAAAAACAUAAUGCAUAUACUUGAAUGCAUCCAAUACACACACUUGAAAGCCCUUUUUAGAAGGAUUAUCAACAUAAUUUUUACCUGUCUGUCAACCUUCUUUGGUUCAGCCUUAACAUCUUUCUCAGCAGAAGUUGAAGUCACCAAAUUGUCCCUCUUUGAAGGUUGUUCCACCAGUGGUGGUUCCAGCAACACUAGAGCUUUCUUAAUCACUUUUAUUUGCUCCUCUGUAGGAACCUCCAUCACUGCCCAUGUAUCCCCAUUCUCCUCCCUCAGCUCAAAUCCUAGAAAGCUCAGCAACUCAAUACCCCCUGUAACCUCAGCAACAGCCUCUUUGAUCUUUGGAUUGCUCAUCCUAAUCUUCCUAAACUUAACAUUCUCAGGUUCCCUAGCAAUAUUCCUCAGCAAUUUAAGAACAACAUCAAGUGACCCCUCAGAUGGGUUCCCUGAAAGGAAAGUGCCAACACAAACCUCCAAUUCACUGUUUUGAGACUCAGCUUCAGUCAAUGCCAAUUCUGAGACACCCUUUUCACAAUCACCCUCAGCUGGGGUGCUCAAACAAGUAUCAACAUGCUCAGAAACUUCCUCUUCGGAUCGGAACGGUUGUUUACAAAUGGGGCAUUCAUACACGUUCAGCGAGUACCCAUUUUGCGAUCUGUUGGAUGAAGUGACGAGGGAAUCAAACGGGUCAAACCCGUCACCCGGAUUGCGAUCGGUUUUCCGCCGCGAGGGUUCGUGAUUGGUAGUUGAAGCUGGACGGGGUUUGGAAUUGGGAUUAGGGUUCUGGGUGGGAGUGAGGCGAGGAGUGGGAUUGCGAUUGGGAUUGAUGGGUGCAGAAGAAGAAGAAGAUGAUGAUGAAGAUCCCAAAACCCUACCUUGACCCUUGAAUUUGCCAGAUGAUGAAGAGGUGAAGGGGUUGUUGACUUUCUUCAUGAACCCCUUGACUUUGUCUUUCAUGUCACCCAUUGAUUCUGAAAACUCAAGAUCGGAGAAGAGAAUCUAGGAUUGAAGAGAAGAGGAGAAAAUCCAGAACAAGAGAAAUUAACAAUGACAAUACUCCCUUGCAAAGCACGGUAUUUCUGUAAAAAUAUAUGUAAUAAAUAUUGGUCCUUUAUUAUGUUUGACUUUCAAUUUCAAAAAAAAUAAAUAUGGAUCAUAUUAAGAAAAAUAUAAAUUUGAUUUAAUUGGUAGGUUUUUUAAGAGUAAUUGAUUUUUUUUUUGAAACUAAGAAUAAUUGAUGAUUAAUUCAAAAGAAAUUAGUAAAUGUUUUUUUUGAAUAAAAUAAAUCAGUAAAUGUGAUGGCAGUGGAGUUGGGACUCAAACACGUUUGAGAGAUGUGUCACAAGGUUAUAUCUUGUGCUUCUGAUUACUUGCAUGUGGUUGAGGUUCUACUGAAUGAUUCAGAUGUGUUAAUCUUUUGGAAGAAAUAAAUAGUUUUGCGCUUAAAUGAGAUUGGGAUGUUGUUAUGGUCUAUGUACCUCGUGAGAUGAACAAUGCAACAAAUUCUUUGACUCGCCAAGAUUUUAGGAAUGACUAUUUUUAUCGGGUGUGGCGACAUCCACCGCCUUCUAUCAUUACCUUCUUGUGUUUGGAUGAUGUAGCUUAGUUUAUGUUCUUUUUAGCUUUGCUCUUGUAAACAAAAUAUAUAUAUAUAUAUAUAUAUGGGGAAUGCUAAUGCACACCCACUCUUUUUUUAGAAGGAGUGCAUUAGCAACAUACACCUUUUUCUUUAGACAAAAAACCCAACUUUCAACUUUAAAGUUAAGUUACUUUAUAAGGGUACCAAAGUAAUUUCAUAAGAACACCUGAUACCUUUUCUUUUAGACCAAAAUAUCUAAUUCUCUUAUCUUUAAAACAAUUCAAGUUAUGGGUAUAUAGGUAAUUUUAUUACUAUUUUAAUUUUAAACUUCUUAAUUUCUCUCAGCUCAUUUAUUAUCUUCUCCCCUUUCUCUUUUUCUCUUUCUCUGAACCUCUUGCAUGUAGAAUGAAAGGUGGAUGUAUGUUGAGAAAAAAAAGUGAAAUUGGUGAAAUCAAGCUGGAGAUUUCGAUACCAGUUUCUAUAAUUUAGGGGUGAUUGAGAAGUUCUGUGAUUAUAACUGGGUGGGUAUAUCCAAAUAAAGCACUUGUGGAACACUCCGAAUAAACCAUAUAUAUAUAUAUAUAUAUAUGGAGUGGAAAGUUAUUUUUCGGUGUAUGGAGUGAAAAAACAAAGUCGAUCGAAUUUAACUAGGUUGAUUGAUUUAGUUUUUGAUAUUUUUUUAAGCUAAUAUGAAUCAAAUCAUUUUAAAGAAUGUUAGAUUGAUUUUUAAUGGUUUGGUUCGAGUAGUAGAGUUGAAAUAUAAAAGAAUUAAAUUUUGAAUUUUUUUACUUUAUAUAUUUUAUUUUAUAUUAAAUUUAUAGCUUAUAUUACUGUAAGUUCAAAAAAUUCUAAUCUUCACAGUUCUUGUUAAUGCGAUUAUGCACCCCCUUCGUACUACUAAUGUGAUUCUUGCCUGGCUUUCUUUCAGCUCAAGUAAGACGGUUGCGGUGAGAAUGAUGAUCACUUCAAAACUCUAGUAAAAUAGGUGUUUUAGGAUGGGAUUUAAAAAAUUCUAAUCUUCACAGUUCUUGUUAAUGCGAUUAUGCACCCAAAAAAUUAUAAUCUUCACAGUUCUUGUUAAUGCGAUUAUGCACCCCCUUCGUACUACUAAUGUGAUUCUUGCCUGGCUUUCUUUCAGCUCAAGUAAGACGGUUGCGGUGAGAAUGAUGAUCACUUCAAAACUCUAGUAAAAUAGGUGUUUUAGGAUGGGAUCUAAAAGUUCUCCAACGUGUUGCGGGGCCUUCAGGCGAGGGGCCUUCAGGCGUGAGAAGAUCUUUUGGCUCCCUUAGGGCUGUGUGAAGCUUAGCUUGCUUUAGCAGCCACAUGAUGAUUCAAGAUUCUUGAUAGGCGUAGGAGUUGGGCUAAGCUGUGCAAAGUGAGCGUAGUAACCCCCAUAUGUAAUGUAGAAUCGAAUAUAAAGCUCUUUAUAAGGGUGUACAAGGGACGGAAUCUAUUGCACUUAUGAGGUUUACAUUUUGUUUGAUCUAUAUACACGUGUCACUCAUUUUGUUUGAUCAUUCUUCACUUGUCUCACAUGUGCAUAAUACACAAAUGAUUUUCUCUUGUUAGAGCUUGAAAGUAUCCAUAGUUUGAUCAACGAAUUCAUAAAGUAGAUGUUAAACAUUUUAGGGUUAAAAACUAUAACCGUCCCCGAAAAAAACCCCCCUCAGCUUUUAAAAAACAAAUUUGCCCCGCCCCCCCGACAGCCUCAGGUCCGGCAAUCGCUGACUUGGCCGUCCACGUCAAUUAAUGAGACUCAACGUGAAUUUUUUUUUAAAAACCAUCCUCAGACUUUUAAAAACAAAUUUGACCCGUCCCUCCGGCAGCCUCAGGUCCGGCAAUCGCUGACUUGGUCGUCCACGUCAAUUAAUGAGACCCGACGUGGAAUUUUUUUUAUGUAUAAUCGUCCCUGUACUUUGAGCAAGUUUUAAAAACCGUCCCUCGCCGGAAAAUUAUUUGAAAACCAUCCUCGGACUAUUGAAAAUAAUUUCAACCCAUCCCUCCGGCCGCCUCAGGUUCGGCCAAUUCCUUACGUGGCUGUCGACGUCAAUUAAUGAGGAUUACGUGUCUUUUUUUUUAAAUUAAAAUAUGUCAUAAUUAUCUGAAUUAACACAAUUAACCCUAAAUCCCCAAAUUAACCCUAAAUCCCUAGUUUUCCCCCUAAUUAACUCUAAACAACAAAUCAACAUCUUUUCCCUUCUGUUUGAGCUUCUGUUCGAAACCUAACCCAUCAUCAUCGUUCGAACCCUUCGAAGAACUGGGGAAGGUGAUUCGAAGAACUGAGGACGAAGUAGGCGACGAAGAACACGAAGAACACCGAGGCUGCAACGAAGAUUUGGGAAGGAAGCUUGUGAGGUUUGUUCUCAAUCCUUCUCGUUUCACCGUUGANNNNNNNNNNNNNNNNNNNNNNNNNNNNNNNNNNNNNNNNNNNNNNNNNNNNNNNNNNNNAUAAGGAGCUGGACGGGCCUGAGGCGGCCGGAGGGAUGAGUUGAAAUUAUUUUCAAUAGUCUGAUGAUGAUUUUCAGCUAAUUUUCCGGCGAUGGACGGUUUUCAAACCUUGCUCAAAGUACAGGGACGAUUAUAGAUUUUAACCCAACAUUUUAUUCUCAUCCACAUGACAAGAUAAAUUUGAGCACCAUGUAUCACAUUUUAAUCAUUAUAACAAAUUAAAAUUUUAUAAAAUAUAUAUGUUGGACGGACGGGUGACCCGGGUGUCAACCCAACCCUACCCGAAGUCGGGUAAUCCAAAGAUCAACCCGAACCUAAUCUUUUAUUGAUCGGGCCGGGUUCAACUUGGCCCUAUAGGCUUGGGCCGGGACGGGUUGGCGGGUAGGGCCGGAUCUUAUACACCGCCUCUUUACUAUGAUUGAAACAAGCAAGGAACAAGUGGCCACAAGCUCAGCUUGUAAACGUCAUCUUGACACUGACUUUUUAAUUUUUAUCCAAUAGCUUAUGUAUUUUACUGAGGUGACCCUCACUGGUGUGACAACAGUACGUGUCUAUGGUUAUUAGAAUGACACUUAACACUUACAUUGUGAAAUUAAUAGCGAGUGAGAUCGCAAUUACUAUACACGAAGAAAAAAAUUAAAUGAGCAAAACUAUCAUUGUGUAAAAAAUCACGGUUCAAUUGCGGGAGUUGGGUUUGGCACCCCACCUAUGGGGCUUGGCACCCCACUUUAUCAAAUACGGAAUUUAAGUUCCGUAUUCAAUAGGGAGAAUACGGAAUUUUAAAUUCCGUACUGUAUUUAAGCAUGCGUGUCACAUUUUCAACCACUCAUUAUAUACUAAAACAGAUACGGAAUUUUAUUUUCCGUAUUGAUACGGAACUUUAAAUUCCGUAUUUAAUAAAGUGGGGUGCAAAGCCUAAGGGGUGGGGCACCAAACUCAAUUUCCAUUCGAUUGCUAAGUCAUGUAUUGUUGUCAUAUACUUGUACGUAUUAAGGCAAAGAAGCACGUUUUCAAUUCACAUUGAGUUUUAAAAUUAAACAGAAAUCCACAUGAAGUACAAAUUCAAGUAUGUGACGAUGCAGAUACAGGCGACAUUGGAAGCAUUAAAAAUAGUAUCAAUGGUAAAAAAACACAUUAACUGAUGGAAGAACAGACAACAACAACAGUGAUAAGCAGAAAUAUUGGCAGCAAAACUGGCUGAAUAACAAAAGAAGCUUCAUAUGUAACAAUGACCAAAUAUCUGUUAAAAACUAUAUAGUCAUCCUAACUCUAUAUUCGCGGGUUAGCUGAGAAAAUUGAGAGAAAAAGAAGCUUCCAAAGUACACAACAUAUGGUUCUCAGUCGUGUAAAAUAUUGUACUCCAAAUUAAGUUGUCAGGAGGCAGAUGCAAAGCACUUUCCUAAUGUGUACAUCAUAAACAUCAAUUUUAAACAAAUCAAAUGGAAUGUAGGAAAAAAAGUGGCCAAUGCUUGGUUUGUGAUCAAACAAGGAUUUCUUAGUUCUGCCUGUCAAACACUGUUGAAAUUCAUUUGUUGCUGAUCUUAUUGUCAGAUGAAAUAAUCAACAAAGCAACUAUACCUUCUCUGUUUUAAGGUAUCUUAAGAAUCUGUGUCUAACUAUGGCUAAGACUUCCAUCUAAGAAGUGUUCUACUCCAAGAACACAAACCAGAAAUUAGGCAAGAUAUUCAAAAGAGAACAAUGUAUGAAGUAAUAGGACAUCCUAGCCAAGGUAGAUUUCAAAGCAUCACAAACAGCAGAACAAAGCACUUGAGCAGAACAAGACUACAAGAUUCUGUUGUUGCACGCAACAACAGAACGAGGAAAACCUAUGAUCAUACUAAGACAACAACCCCAUCUCCAGAAGUUUCUAAAAAUUCUAACAAACUUCUUAAAACUUCAAAACAUGCUAUGCUGAAUCAACACUAUAGCCUGUAGAGAACCUUACUAAUGACCUUAACAAACCAAAACUAAGUUUGCUAACAAAGAGGACCUAUUAACAUUACAAACAGUUGCACAUAAAUGUCAUAUCAACAAGCUUCUAAAGCAUGAAACAAGAAUUUGUAGUGAGUUAACAAAACUAGAAGAAAUACUUGAAUUCAAACACAUAGCAAGAGUACCCAGUUUCACAGAGAAACCAGUGGUCAUACCAUAUAGCUCACAUUGCCUUUUCCAUCUACAAAACUUCAACCAAAUCAAAUGUAGUUCAAGCAGAAUUCAAACCUAGAAUAUAAUUUGUUGCAUAAAGCACAUUUAAAUCCUACAUUCAGCCAAUUAAUUAGAUCACAGACCAUAAAUUACUGCAACAGUGGCAAAAUCCCCAAAUAAAGGAACCCUAGAUCUCAAUUCGUGCAAAUUCAAAUGGCAGAGAAACAACAUAGCUACGAUGAUUAAUCGUCAUCAUUCAAACAUCGAUUCAGAAUUAAGAACAAAAACACAAGAAAAUUAAAUGGUUUCUAAGAUAACAACGAAAACUGUAGGCGGAGAACACAAAAUCAGGAAUGGACAUAAGAGAAUUGAACCGUUCAGUCGCGAUUCUUGAGGCGUUCGAGGCGCUGGUUGAGGUGCUCGAUCCUGACAACGAGGUUGGUGACGGAGUAGAGAAGCCAGUAGAAGAGGAGCGCGGAAGCGAUGAGGAGCGCGUUGCGCUGGCUCUUCAUGAUGGAUUUCUGGUGACGGAGGUGCUCCGUCGGAGUGCAGGAAUCACCGUCGCAGCUUGGCCGCGUCUCGUACUUCCAGUAAAUGUCCAUCAGGAGGAAGAGACAGAACGGCANNNNNNNNNNNNNNNNNNNNNNNNNNNNNNNNNNNNNNNNNNNNNNNNNNNNNNNNNNNNNNNNNNNNNNNNNNNNNNNNNNNNNNNNNNNNNNNNNNAUCGGAAGUAGUUAGCAGAGAAUGAGUUUGGAUCCUGUAUUCUCUCUUUGAUUAGGACACGCAAAAGAAAAGAAGUGAAGUGCUUUUAUCUUAUAUAUACUGCACCGUUUAGGGAUUUUUAGAUGUAACCAUCGUGUGACACGUGUUGUAGUCUUGACACACACGUGGUUUCUUAGUAAUGAAGGUUUUCUAGGCUGAAAAUGCAAAUUGAUAGUCUUGGAAAACUAACUAAUAUAUUAGAGUGUCCAUCACAAUCGUAAAAAAGGAAUGUUUAAAGUUUUAUGUUGAGAGUUUAAUUUUAGGGUGCCCAUUAGGGUGUACUAUUAUUGUUUUGGUCCACCGGUGCACCAAUGAAAUAGAAGUAAAAAGGACAUAAACAUAAAUGGUAAUUCAAUUUGAUCCAACACUCAACCCAUCUCUCUCACAAAGCUUAUGGAAGGCACUAUCGAUGGUCGCGCGAUGAAGGUUUUCCUUUGUGAGAAAGAAGAGAAGGAGAGUGCCUCGAAGAAGGAUCAUAUCUUGUUUGAUGGUGUCAAGGCGAGAACUCCGGCGUGGUUGAAGGUUGGAAGCUCGAUCUGAACCACAUCUUAACUGGUUGCAUAAACGAUCAGAACCACAUCUGCAUGUCCAUGGUUGCUAAAAGUCUGAAAAGGUGACGUGGUGGAAGCCCGAUCUGGACGCAUUGGAGAGUAAGGUUGCGACAUCUCUGACAUUAAGACUAUAACCUCCUUCCACUGGAAAACACUAAACCCACAAUUUUGUAUAAUCCUCCUCUUCUUCAGUCGCGGCUUCCCCUCCUACGUCCAUCAAGGUGGUGGUUGCUACUUAUCUUCUCUGGCUACUACGGGGUGAUUGAUGGAUAUGUGCAUUCUAGAAGUUGGGACCUCAGAUAUGGUGGUUUUAUUAUGAAUGUUGUGUGUUCUUCUCAGAGUGUUAUCUGGUUUUGAUUUUGAUGCUUCUCUUAGGUUACAAAGCCAAUUUCAUCUUUCACUUCUUUCUUUCUCAAGGGUUCCAACCAGAUAUGCAGCGAUGACAAUUCUACCAUCACAUGUUAGCCUCUGCAAUGAGAGUGAGACGGGGAAAGAGGAAAAAGGAAAAUCACGGAGGUUGCUAGGUCGUUGGGACUCGGAAGAAUACGGUUAGAGGAAGAGUGGGAGGGAGAAGAAGAGGAAGGGGCAAAGUCUAAUAUACGCCUUGUAAACCGGUUGACAAAAUUAAUAAAGAUCCACCCUAGUGGGCACCCAAUUUUAGGACUUGCAUUUUUGGUUAACCAUACCUAUAGGGUGGGAAUAGGCUGGGCCUAGGUAGGCUUNNNNNNNNNNNNNNNNNNNNNNNNNNNNNNNNNNNNNNNNNNNNNNNNNNNNNNNNNNNNNNNNNNNNNNNNNNNNNNNNNNNNNNNNNNNNNNNNNNNNNNNNNNNNNNNNNNNNNNNNNNNNNNNNNNNNNNNNNNNNNNNNNNNNNNNNNNNNNNNNNNNNNNNNNNNNNNNNNNNNNNNNNNNNNNNNNNNNNNNNNNNNNNNNNNNNNNNNNNNNNNNNNNNNNNNNNNNNNNNNNNNNNNNNNNNNNNNNNNNNNNNNNNNNNNNNNNNNNNNNNNNNNNNNNNNNNNNNNNNNNNNNNNNNNNNNNNNNNNNNNNNNNNNNNNNNNNNNNNNNNNNNNNNNNNNNNNNNNNNNNNNNNNNNNNNNNNNNNNNNNNNNNNNNNNNNNNNNNNNNNNNNNNNNNNNNNNNNNNNNNNNNNNNNNNNNNNNNNNNNNNNNNNNNNNNNNNNNNNNNNNNNNNNNNNNNNNNNNNNNNNNNNNNNNNNNNNNNNNNNNNNNNNNNNNNNNNNNNNNNNNNNNNNNNNNNNNNNNNNNNNNNNNNNNNNNNNNNNNNNNNNNNNNNNNNNNNNNNNNNNNNNNNNNNNNNNNNNNNNNNNNNNNNNNNNNNNNNNNNNNNNNNNNNNNNNNNNNNNNNNNNNNNNNNNNNNNNNNNNNNNNNNNNNNNNNNNNNNNNNNNNNNNNNNNNNNNNNNNNNNNNNNNNNNNNNNNNNNNNNNNNNNNNNNNNNNNNNNNNNNNNNNNNNNNNNNNNNNNNNNNNNNNNNNNNNNNNNNNNNNNNNNNNNNNNNNNNNNNNNNNNNNNNNNNNNNNNNNNNNNNNNNNNNNNNNNNNNNNNNNNNNNNNNNNNNNNNNNNNNNNNNNNNNNNNNNNNNNNNNNNNNNNNNNNNNNNNNNNNNNNNNNNNNNNNNNNNNNNNNNNNNNNNNNNNNNNNNNNNNNNNNNNNNNNNNNNNNNNNNNNNNNNNNNNNNNNNNNNNNNNNNNNNNNNNNNNNNNNNNAAAUUAGCUAUUGUUUAUUAGCCAUCAUUAAACCACAUCCCCUAAUAUGUUUUGCAUAAUUUGAGAUUUGGUUAACCAAUUUUUUUAUUAGUUAUUCAAUUGUACGAAGUUCAAUCUAUGCAACAAGGGUUUUAAUUUAAGACUGUUUAUCCACUUUGCUCAUCAUUUUACACUCUUCUAUUUCAUCCGUUGUUUAUUAUAUUUUUAAUGAUCAAGGUAUUAAUUGACCUAUCAAAUAAAAUAGAUGUAUUCCCCGUGCAACGCGCGGGUAAAAAACACUAGUAUUUAUUAAAAAGUCAACUUAGGUGCUAACGUUUAGUUACUGAUACACAUCAUACUUAAUGCUAUAUAGCUGGAACCAAAUACUCAAAUAGGAACAUUUGAGCCUAACUAUUUCCAAAGAAAAUGUCAGAAGAAUUAAAGGGAUACGAACAUUUUUAACUAGCUGCAAACCUAUUAUGCCAAGAAUGUUGCAUCAUGUUCAACAAUUAAUUAACCAUAUACCCAUACGACAGAAAGUCAACAGUUAGUUGGACAGUAAAAUACAUCAAUGAGACUUGUAUAAAAGCAGCUCCAAAUAUUCUAGCAUGUGUGUUCAUUCAUAAUUUUUUUUAGAAUUAGACAUAAUAAUUAUAGACUAUUUGAUACAUAAAAAACUAAAUAUAAGCCUUCAGUAGGUACUUGACAAACACCAAGGGUUAGUGAAAAUUAUUCAAUCAAAAUUUUCCGUAAGGGAUAGUAGGAAAAUCAUUAUUGAGAAUUAGGGGUGUCUAGAGGAUUAAAUUGACCCGACGAACUAAACCAAUUGGUUCAAAGUUUUUCACUCUUCAAAUCCAACCUGAACCAAACCAAUGCAAACCCGAGGUUGAUUGGUUCGGAUUAUGGGCUUGAAACUUAGACUUGAGACCCGAACGAACCAUCAUGUGCCAAAAACUGGUUGAAAAUUUUAAUUUUUCUCAAGCUUAUUGCAUUUUCUUCCUUGUCAUGUUAGUGAAUGUAGACCGGAGAAAUCAAACCAAUUCGUUCUUCAUCAUAUUGGUUUGGUUCAAAUUUGGAAUUUUUUUCCUAAACCAAAUCGACCAAGUUUAAUUGCAUCAGUUACAUUUUUCAUCUACAAUCGAACCAAACCAACCUGUGUACACCCCUAUCGAGAAUGAUAAAUACAACUGACUAUGAUUAUAAAGAUAUAUUCUCUGGAAUAUACAGCUGCUAGAAUAUUUACUGAUGAUAGUUGUACUGGAUUUCUUCACAUCAUGACAAAAAUUCUUACAGUUCCUACACAGAUGUGGAAAGAUAAUUUUUACCUAACAAACAUUGAGUUAAAAUAAAUUUGCAAAGAAGCCCUAUAAAUUUAUAACCAGUAUAAAAGCCCAGGAAAAUUCUAUGAUAAUAGAGUUACAAGUGCAAUGUGUGACAAUGUAGAAAUCAAUUGAGAGUAACAAACAAAGUAGAGCAGAAAUUUCCACAAGUAUGCAAAUCACAUAAUUCAAUUCAAUUCAAUUGAUAUAUAGAUAAAUUGAAACCUGCGAGUAUGCAGAUUCCAUAUAAGAGAAUUCACUUUUCUUAGGACACAAUCAAACAUUCAAUUGUAACUAAAAAUUAGAACAUUCUGAGCACAUUAAACAUGACAGAAAUAAAAGGUUAGUAAAAUAACAAUUCAUUCAGCAACAUCCACAAGCAAAAUUAGGAACUCUGGAGCCAUGGAAGUUAAUGAAACUAAUAUCGUACCAGCAUAGAGAAAUCACAAUGCAAAUUAAAGACAAGCAACAAAAUUAAGGUGUGCUAUAUUACAAGGACUGUGUCAAGAAGAUCAAUAACUUGUUAAAUCAGCUUGUAUUUCAUCAAAAUCAAUUCUGAAACUCAAACUACUCACUGAAGUUUUUUCUUCAUGAUUAAAUGCGCCUUCAAAAUAAAUUGUAGACGAUUUCCAAACAUGUAUUAACCUAGUAAAGCACAAUCAAUUCAACACAACUAGCACAAACAUCCACAUCCAAGAACACAAGAGUACAUAUAACCAUGUAUUAGAAAUUAAGCAAGCAAAAACACAAGAAAGAUGUGAUUUAUACUAUAUUUCAAACAAAAGAAAACCAUUUUUUUCAGAACAUGACAAAUGGAGAUGAGAUGAUAAUUGAGGACAUCAAAAGCAUAGCAAAAGAAGCAUAACAAACUUUCUUCCACAACAUCACUAAAGCAGAUUGCACAAAAUCCAAGUGUACUUUAAAAUGUGAGCAAUUCAAGGGUGGUGCACCCACAAGGGAAGACAUGUAUGUACCUGAAUGUACCCUCCAUGAUUGCACCAACCAUGUGAAGUUGUAUUAUUGCAUCAGGUUCUAAUUAAUAACACCAACAACAAAAACACCCACAUAUAAAGGGAGAAAAAUGCCAAGCACAAAAAGAUACAACUGCUACCCCAAGCAUAUGAUCCAAUCAUUCACAUUGGACAAGAAAACAAAUGAAGGAGCUGAAAUGAUCACAAUUUUCCAUUUACUUUCAUAUCAUGUUGCAAAACAAAUGCCAAGCACCAAAUAAGCACAUUGUCCCACAGAUAAGAGCAUGACAAAUAACAAAUAAUGCAUAUUCAAGGGCACAAUCAAAUUAUUCAAUUUUCCAAAACCGUAAUGAUAAUUAGACACUCAAACAUGGAGACACCAUAGAGACACUCAAACAUUGCAGACACUCCAUUUUUUCUCUCUAUCACUAUUUGUAUCGCAUUCGUCAUAAAUCACAAUAAUUACUUCUUUUUAUAUAUUAUUUUUUCUUAGUGUGAGUGUCUACAAAAUUUCUGCAAUAUGCGAAUGUGUAUGAAACUAUGAAUAAUUUUACUUUCCAAAACAACCCUUGUGUGAACUUCACUGGAGACAUAGUUAUUGAUACUCCACCAAUGAAAAGGCAAACUCAAUGAUUACUUUUUCAAUGACAUGAUAGGCAGUGUUGGACAGCUCAACAUUGAGACAACAAAUAUCAAAAAUGCAAGUGUAUGUAAGAAUGAUGACACAAAUGUGAUUGCAUUCUCAAUAUCAAAUCUUAAUUAACUAUUCAUACCACAUGCAAUUAAUCCUAUAGGCAUUAGAUGAAUAGAAUAGUAAAACAAACACAAGACAAGCAAGGCAAUAUUUUAAAAUCUAAUUAAAAAAAUUGUAUUGCAAUCCACAUGACAUAAUCCAUCUAUAUAUAAAAAUAUAUACGUUUAGACAAAUAAAAGGGGGCAGCAUGUGCAGAAAAAGGUAAUGCAAAUAUGCAAUGAAUAGAGACAAUCAUUUAUUUGUUUAUCAAUGGCCAGACAUUGCAACUAGGAAUCUAGCCAAUAUAAAUAAGAGACAUGAACUGCAGCUUCACCCGAAAUCAGGGAUAUAAACAUAGACAAAAAAAAAAACAUCUAGGAAAUCAACACACAAAUUAUAAUAUAUUAUAACAAAUAAUAUAGCUAUUCUUUUCUUAACAAAAAGAAUGGGGUUCUAAAAUCUUAAAUGGGUCCUCAUUAGUAAAAGAAAACAAUGUGUAAUAAUCAUCAUAAAGCUUAAGAAUUGAUACACGGUAGAAAACCACAAUGAAACUAAAAUUAUGGUAGACAAUCACAAAAGCUAAGAAAAUUGCUUCUGCCCAUCGUGAUUUUGCCUCGCCAUAAUUUUCCAAUGUAUAUCAAAACAUGCUAAAUUGCACAUAAUGGUGUCUAAAUGAAGCAACACAAGCAUGUUUGAAAAAAUUUCUACAAUUGAUUCUAAAGUCAAAAUCAAUUAUUUAGAGAAACUUCUACAAAUAGCACUUGAGUGCAAUAAUUGAUUAUGGGAAAAAAUAAAAUGAUCCAAACAAGUUAUUGAAUUGACGUUCACACGCACUUCAAGACCAAAAACAAACAGAGUCUUCUCAUAGAUUGAGAUGUUAAUCUGUUCACAUUGCUGUUAUCUGAUAUCCUAACACAAAAUCUGAUAUACUAACACACUUAACAUAUUGAUUUUGACUAGAAAUAAUAUUGGAGACCAGCCUCAUAGGUUAGAUGAAAUUUAAAGAUCAGUAAUGGCUAUUGUGUGAAUUCCAAACAAGAACAAAAGGAAAUUACAGUACAUCACGUCUUGAUGAAUGCAGAAACUUUGCAGGCCGCUUACGCAUCAGAGAGAUGACCAGUAAACUAGGAUGAAAAAGACAGACAUAUAAUGAUGGUGACGUUACAACUACUUCCCAUGCUUAAGUCUAUACAAUUAAAACCUAGCUAUUGGUCUAUGGGAUAUAUAAAUACAUACAUACACACAAGAGGUGACAAUAAUAUAUAUCAUAAUAUGGAACAUUGAAAUUGUGCAUCAUGUCUACUCAGAAAAAAGGAAGCAUACCAACAUACCAAGUAUAUCUCGAGGAAAAUAUAUAUUUAGCAUUAUGAACUCAUUGUCCAGCAAUAACAACCAUCAUAAAAUAUUAAUAUUUAAAAAUACAUCAUUAUCAUAUACUUUACACUGCAGAUUUCACCUUUGACAAAUUUUAAAUCUAAAACAAUAGAAACAGAAGGGGAGUAAAACACUAUAAAAAACAAAAAACUUCAAAGCAAAGUAGAGAAUUUGAUACAAUCACUUAUGAUAAUUAAUAUUCAAAGCAAUGGUGAGACUAGUAAAACACAACAUUUAUCCAACUUUGCUUUCCAUUUUAAGUUAAUUUGGUACAUAAACUAUAUCCCUAAUUGUUAGAAAAUGAGGGACUCUUUGUCAGUCAAUGAUCAUCUCAUGAAAUGACAAAGGCAUACUAAUCAGGCGAGAAUAAAGAAUAGAACUAAAAUCAAGUUGGAAAAUGCAGGAAAAAGAGUGACAUAUGCAAUAAAGAUACAAAGCCUAGUAGAAAAAUUAAUCCUCCCACCUCUUUCAAUAUCAGCAAAGGACUACAACGUCAGCCUCUCGAAGCCCCAUCUAUUAACAUCUUGUACUCAGAAAGAAAAUUCAGAGUAUGUUUGAUUUCUGUUGAACUCAACACUGAUCAUCGUUGAAGUUAGCGUAGCAAUAUAUUUGCUUUUUUUGUUUGGAAAACCAAACACUCAAUUUCAAUU
rnacentral:lncRNA from 1 species